rnacentral:lncRNA from 1 species
ACCUGGGCUGGGAAUCGAUAUGUUGAACCUCGACGCGGAUGCAACACGUGAGCGGUGAUUUUGAUACGUGGUACCACCAUAUAACACGCCGCCGUGUUCGUGGAUUCGGGUGUUUCGUUCUAAUUACCGUCCUUUUCUGAGACGUCAGGUGGGUAUUUGCAGUGACAGUGCGAUGUUCGAAAGUGGCCACGGGAAUCCGAGUGCGAAUUGUGCGGAUCGUCUCGUUGUCUGAGAAGAGCUCGACAUGAAGGAUUUCCAAUUGCUCUUCCCCCUGUACCUAUGGACCACGCUUGCGUACCUCGUGCCGCACGGAUCUGCUAUUCCAGCGUGUGCAUGGGUGAGGGGGUGUUAUACCGAUCACCGCCCGGGGGCAAGUAAGUGUCGGCGCUGCGAAAUUUCGGCUGCUUCCUGGAGUCGCUUCAUAGAGGCGAUGUUGCUAUUUAGACGGAUUUAAAUUCGCCUUAUGAACCAGUGGACAAGGUACGCAUUUAACCAUUCUGAUAUAGAAUAAAGAAAAACUUAAUCAGCCAAAAACAUAAUA